UACGUAGGUGGCGAGCGUUGUCCGGAUUUACUGGGCGUAAAGGGAGCGUAGGCGGAUUUUUUAAGUGAGAUGUGAAAAUACCCGGGCUCAACUUGGGUGCUGCAUUUCAAAACUGGAAGUCUAGAGUGCAGGAGAGGAGAGUGGAAUUCCUAGUGUAGCGGUGAAAUGCGUAGAGAUUAGGAAGAACACCAGUGGCGAAGGCGACUCUCUGGACUGUAACUGACGCUGAGGCUCGAAAGCGUGGGGAGCAAACAGG
rnacentral:rRNA from 1 species